ACUAAGGACGCAGUGGGAAACGAAGACCACAUGCGUUGACGACGGGGACGGACGCCAGAAGCACAGUGGAGCAAAUCGCGCGCUGUAUGGACCAUUCGAUGGAGAAUCGGACCGCUGAGAAAAAAACGCCGACGUGGAUAGCCUGGCUGCGCGAGUAGCGCCAGAACUUUCAUAUAUCUAGAAAUUUGACGCCCCACAUGCUUGACCCCUGUGGCCGCUUACAAAGGGGAAAAAAAUUGGAGUGCAGGCUUGGGUUAAUCCGGCCACGAGGGAGCACGGGUGGCAGCUGCCCUACCACCCUCUCCAGUUAUAGUCCACUCCGCGUGGGUGUGGGAAUUGCUGUAUUCUCGGCACUGGGUUUCGCCUUCUAUGUCUUCUUCGUACCGUUCGUGGGGGCAAAGCAUUUUCAGAUUGUGGCCAUGGCUAUUUACGCUCCCUUGAUUACAUGUGUUGUUGUGUUACACAUAUGGUUUGCUGCAACAAAUCCUGGAGACCCUUGCAUUUUCAGUUCAGCAAAGCAUUUGAAGUUAGAUAGUCAUAGAGGAAGGCCAUUAGGUGAGGCUACUGAUGAUAGUAAUGAGAAGCUGAGAGGAAGGAUUCACCUUCUUGCCCCAGAUUUUCUGGAAUAUUUUGCUUGGUUUGUUUCCCAUUCUCUUGCCUUUGCAAGCGAUGCCUCCAUUCCAAUAAUCAACCUUCAGAACAGAACAUAUGUGAAGAAGGCAUGUUUCUCUGCAGCUUAUGCUAAGCUGAGGUAUUGUUGGCUACUCCUUUUCUACACAUCGUAUUAAGCUCAUGUACUUAUACAUAUUUCCCUUGGGGUUGUUCAAUACAGACAAGUGUUACUAACGACAUGACAUCAGACUAAAACCUAGGGUUCUGUUUAGGGCUCUUUCAGUUAACUGUCAUUGAUUAUUGAUUAUGAUGCGUUGCACUAGCACACUUCCACCAAAAUCAGCACCUCUGCUAAUACCUGAACAUGCUGUUCUGUUUCUUCAAAUUACACUGGUCUGCACAGUGCACUACUAACUUAGCAAUCAUAUUUUGGGAACAUGUAGCACAAGUACCCAUACUCCUUUCACUAACCUUGAACAUGCACGAGCUCUCAAAUUGUGGACACAGGUGUGCAUCUCUGAAGAUUUUAGUGUCAAAAUCAAAACAAAACUCAUUACUCCUUUAUUCUCGAUUCCCGCUUGAUUGGAUUAUUUCACUUAGAACAGGUAGCUCCUAAGCAAUAUUACAACUGUGAAAUGACGACCUUCAUGCCAUCUGAUAUAAUUGCAUAUUUGCUUUUUAAUUCACCUUCUGUUUCAGUUGGUUCCACCAUUUCUGCUCACAGUCGUUAACAUGCUCGAAGGUGCAUGGUGGCUCCUUGAAUACAUACAUCCUCAUCGCUGCAACCAACUAUCUGAGGAGCUUAAAGGUGCGCUAAUAGCGCGUCAAACGGGGCUAGUGGCUCGCCGGUUGCUUCGUUGAUCUCCGUGAUGGUCGUAUAUCCUACCAUCUUCCUCUUGGAGCCACGUUUCCGUUUAUGCUUCGUUGAUCCUGAUGCCUGAAAGAAUCACAAAUUUAUCAAGCGGGUUGCUAGCAACUAGUGGACGUCGCGGCAGGUCCGAAGUGUCCCUUGAGUUGACAGGGGGUUCCACGCCGACGAAUAUGUAUAGCCCGGCAAGCUCGGCUUCCAGAGUCAAAGAUGCCGCAGGGCGGUACCCAGUUAUUGUUCUUAGUGUAUCAAGCUGCUCCCUCAACUGUUAGUGUAUCAAGCUGCUCCCUCAACUGUUAGUGUAUCAAGCUUUCAUGUAAGCAAGAAAAUCCAAGGUAUCGAGAAUGAAAUCUGGCAUAUGAAAACAAAUUUGGAUGAACUGAGAGGGACUUCUCUAGGUGGAAGCUCCGGCUGGAUGUCAGCUUGGUCGCCAUCGCCUACAAUGUAAUUUAAUGAUGAUUGCUGUGCCUACUAUGGUGUUUUAGUGUCGUUUCCAAGGAUAUCUAGCAGCUCUAUUUUAAUUAAGUUGCAGUGCCGAUAGCUAAUGCAUGAGCUGCUUGAUGGUGCAUGUAUGGAUAAAUCAACGGAACAGGGUUUUCUGGUGAUCAUAAAUCGUGGAAAGAUAGUAAUUCUUUUAUUUCU